CCUACGGGUGGCAGCAGUGGGGAAUAUUGCGCAAUGGGCGAAAGCCUGACGCAGCGACACCGCGUGAGGGAUGAAGGUCUUCGGAUCGUAAACCUCUGUCAGCAGGGAAGAACGGUCACUGUGCUAAUCAGCAGUGAAUUGACGGUACCUGACGAAGAAGCCCCGGCUAACUACGUGCCAGCAGCCGCGGUAAUACGUAGGGGGCAAGCGUUAUCCGGAUUUACUGGGUGUAAAGGGGGCGCAGACGGCGAUGCAAGCCAGGAGUGAAAGCCCGGGGCCCAACCCCGGGACUGCUCUUGGAACUGCGUGGCUGGAGUGCAGGAGGGGCAGGCGGAAUUCCUGGUGUAGCGGUGAAAUGCGUAGAUAUCAGGAGGAACACCGGUGGCGAAGGCGGCCUGCUGGACUGCAACUGACGUUGAGGCCCGAAAGCGUGGGGAGCAAACAGGAUUAGAUACCCCUGUAGUC
rnacentral:rRNA from 1 species